CACGUAGGCACCAAGCGUUGUCCGGAUUUAUUGGGCGUAAAGAGCUCGUAGGCGGUUCGGUAAGUCCGCUGUGAAAGUCGGGGGCUUAACCCUCGGAUGCCGGUGGAUACUGUCGGGCUUGAGUACGGAAGAGGCGAGUGGAAUUCCUGGUGUAGCGGUGAAAUGCGCAGAUAUCAGGAGGAACACCAAUUGCGAAGGCAGCUCGCUGGGACGUUACUGACGCUGAGACGCGAAAGCGUGGGGAGCAAACAGG
rnacentral:rRNA from 1 species